rnacentral:sRNA from 1 species
UCGACGGAUAAAUCAGCUACUACAGAAAC